GCGGCCGCGCACGCAGGAUGCUGCUGGGGCGCAGCUGCUCCCCGCGCCUCGCCCCGCAGCAGCCGGGCACAGCCGUGAAUCUGGGGUAAGCAGGCGGCGGAGGAAGGGACACGCUGGACUGGCAUGAAGAGUCCCUCCCUUGCCCGAGAAGGGACGGCCCCUGCCGCUUACGGCCCGGGGACCAGCCCGGCCUUUCGUGAUGGACUGAAGCUUGAAACUGAAGUGCUGAAUGGAAAACCUAGACUAAUUUUGGCUUCCUCUGCUAAAUCAAAGCCUGCAAUGAAGAUGGAUAAUAAAGCCAGAGGCCCUAAACAGGCGUUGAGAAUAAAGCAUACUGGGCACAUUCUGAGGUCAACACCAAAUGCUUGUAUCAAGCAGGAAAACGUAACAAAACCAAGGAGUGAAUCAAGCUUAUCAACAACAAAAGGUGAAAAACUGCAAGUUACUAAACACUCCUCACAGGAAGCUGUGAAUAAAGAUCACUCUUUGACUUUCCAAAGAGGUAGCACAAUCAAAUAUCUUGAUUCAGACAACGUUGUUAAAAAAAGUAAACAGAAACCUCAGAGCCCUUGUGUAUCAGCUGAAGACCUAAGAAGUUUCGUGUGUUUAACACAAGACCAGCUUCAACGGAUUUUGAUGACUGUAAAAGAAGGAACUACAAGCACCUCUGAGACUCAUGAAAAGCAAGAAGAAACAGCUGCUACUGAGGCAUCAGAGGAAAACGUACCAUUGCUGCAAAAAGGUUGUGAAGUUUCAUCUGUUCCAGAUGAAGCUCACUCUGAUUCAAGCAGGAAACAAGAAGCAUACCCACAGCCAGGACAGAAAGUUGUAAAGGACUCGUGGAAACCUGCUGACUUGUUUAGUACCUUGGGUGAAAGAGAAGGGGAGAAAGCCUUGUCGGAAUUUAGAAAGACCCAAUGGAAGAAGGAAUUAGAUGAACAGGUAGCACUGAAGAAGAAACUGAAAGAAUCUUUGGAGGCAGAGGUGGGUUAUUUCUGGCCAAAACCUGGCAAUAAUAGAACCCAUAAAGAGAAAGUGGAAGGAGCUAACCCAGAUAAGACAAUGUGUCCAGCUAACUCAGUUAUUACCACUGAGAAAAACUGUGUCUGUACAACUGCUUUGACCACAGAGGCUAAUAGAGUUCCAUUGAAUGUUUCAAGUGCCCCAUCUGCACAGUCUUCUGAUUUUGGACCUUCUGACUUACCAGCUGUCAGUUGCACAGCAUUUGGUUUUGGGGAGGCUGUGCCACAGGAGCAACAUUUUAGUGCUUUGAAGCAUGAGCAGCAAAAGAAGUGGCUUGAAGAGCUGGACAAACAGAAGGAAGAAGCUAAGCUACGAAAAAUGGAAGAAAAACUUCAUUUCUCCAAGGCUGAAGAGCAUGACAGAUGGGCAAUGCAUUUUGAUUCUUUAAAGAACCAUCUUAGUGCUAAUACACAACACCCCUUAAAUGGAAUGUACAAAAAGCAGCCUGAAAGUCUUUGCCUGUCACCUGACCCUAAGGAGCUGACGGCUUUUAUUCACCCUUUUUCACCUGCAGCUUUAGGCAACCUCAUGCCCUUAAAAGUAGAAAAUGCAGAAAAAGCUGCUAAAAGCAGUGCUUUGGAACACAGUCAGAAAGUCAGUUUCCUCCGUUCAAUGACAGCUCUCCUGGACCCUGCACAGAUUGAAGAGAGAGACAGGCGGCGGCAGAAACAGUUAGAACAUCAGAAAGCAAUAAUGGCUCAGGUAGAAGAAAAACGGAAGAAGAAACAACUGGAAGAGGAGCAGAGAAAGUGGGAGGAACAAGAGGAAGAACAACGCUUAGCACGAGAAAAAGAACAAAUGCAGAAACAGUUUGAAGAAGAUAUGCUGAAACAAAAACAAAAGGAGGAACUCGUGACUCUUAAAACCAAUGAGCUCUACCAGACAAUGCAGAAGGCUCAGGAAUUAGCACAGAGAUUGAAACAAGAACAGCGUAUUCGAGACUUGGCUCAGAAGGGACAUGAUAUUUCAAAACUUCAGAAGAAUCUUGGUGGUGGUGAUAAAGAAUUUAAAAACUGUAAUGCUGGCAUUUCACACCAAAGUCAUAAUUUUCCUGAUGACAGUAAGAGUCACAUUGAUCAGCAGACUUCUCCUCGGAAGGACACUGCUGUGCAGACAGAUAACUUGAAUACUUCAGCAUACAGUGAGCUAGCUGAGGAAAGACGUGUGUGUUGCAUAUCACCUGAUAUUUCCAUAGAAUACAAAGAAUCUCCCAACAGCAAAAAAUACCAGAAGGAAAAUCAGUGUAUAGGUAAAACAAAAAAUCCAGGAAAAGAGACUGGUGGCAUUUCCAGUGAUCUAUAUGAACAAUAUGCAAGAAAAGAAAGACAAAUGAAAUCUUCCGAAAAAUACAGCAAAAGACCUGACUGGAACAUAAACAAGCCUGGGAAAAGAUACAUUCCAGCAUCAGAAAGAUACCCUAAACAGCUACAAAAGCAAAGGGAAGAAAACAAAGUAAGACGACAAAUGGAGCUUCUUCAGUUGGUAGAAAGAAAUACCCCUGGGCAUCUCUGCUCAAAAAGAGGUGGUUAUGCAGAUGAGUCUCCUUCACCGCAGGAAGAAAUGAAGAACAAGGGACACAGAGUCAGAAGGGAAGAACAAUUACAUAAGAAUCAUUUAACUGAAGAAAGGUCUGAAUCGCCACCUGUUCCAGCAGUUAAGAACAGAUUACACCAAGUACAACAAAAACAGCUACAUGCUUCCAAUUUCCUGGUGUGUAACAGCAAUGGUAGAAGACAGAAAAAUAUCAAGGAAGAUACAGAGCAGAGGAGCUCUCCUCCUCCCACGGCAGAGGCUGGAAGACCUCCCUCUUCACAAUUUAUUCCUUAUGUUCGUACAAAUGAAGUGUAUUGUCUUGAUCCAGAUGCACCAGUGACUCGACCUUCAACACAUGACCCACAGUAUCCACAGUUUAAUGAUUCUUAUCAAAUGCCACGACAGAUUUUUAGCUCUGAUCACAUUAGAGAUCCUCUCCUAAAUCCUGAUGGAGUUAAAAUCAGAGAGAGACAACAAGCAAUUCUCAAAGGAUUGUCAAAAUUACGCCAGGUGUCUGCAAGAGAUACACAACCUGCAUUCAUGUGAGUUGUUCUGUGACAUGUGAUAAAUGCCACAGAAGGUCUACCCUGAGACUCCCUCCUGCAGGAAGGACUGUGGCUGUAUCCUGAAGGCUUCCUACAGCUGUGGCCCAGAGAGGGCAGGUGCAUGUGUUGGUUGCUCUGCCUGCAGGCUGAGGCUGCAUGGGGCAGAGCAGUUCUUUGCAGAACCCACUGGGUUUUAUUGAUACACGAAAGGAUGCUUCCAACAGGUACAGGCCAUCGGGAUUUAAAUAUGACAAGAAAACAUUUGAGAUAAAGGACAAGAAAUGUUUUGUUCCAGAGUAAAAUAGAAAUUGUUAAUCCACCAUUUUAGAAACAGAAAAGUCCACAGCAACUUAUAAAAAGAGAUGUAGGAGUUUAUUUUUGUUUUGAAGAUGGCCUGGAAGAAUCACAAUUUACAUCCAAACCAUGAGGCAAGGACGACUUCUCUGUAUCCAUGCUCUGACUGUAUGCAGAUAGAAAAUAAUUGCCUCCUUCCUGGUUUUGACUUGCAGAAGAAAUGGGGUAUGUGGUUCCCAGAAAAGUCUGGUGAGUGAGUACUUUAAAGUGACUGAAUUGAUGGGACAUGUUUAAUUGUCUGCUAUAAACCUGGAAGUUAUUGAAAGGAGCUGGUUCACCUGAAUUGGGUUUUUCUCCUUCAGCAGAGCAUGUUGUAGAACCUGAAGUAACUGGUGGAAUUUCUUCCAAGUCCAUUUUGGAAGUCUUUUCCAUCGAGCCAGGCUGUGCCUCAGGAGGUAACUCUGUGCCUGGUAAGCAGCGCGCUUUCACAUCUGCUCCCUGUGAGCCCUUGGCCUCUGUCUGCAAAGCUUCCACAUGAGCAUCAUACUUAGAGGCAUCAUUGCAGACUUCUAUUUGUGAUGUUUCAUCCCCUGAAUCGAGAGACAUGUCCUCCUCAUCCUUUUCAUCCUUUUCUACAAGAACUACAUUAAGAAAAAGAGAAAGUCCUAUUCUAUUGAAAUACAAACCUUUGUUAGGAAAGCUGUACACUACUCAGAGAGUGUUAUGCGUCAGGUCUGCAAGUCCAAUAUCAGCUAAGUCUUGGUCUUCUGCCACACGUGUUCACUUACUCAACAUACACACUUAACCCUC